rnacentral:rRNA from 1 species
ACGUAGGGACCAAGCGUUGUUCGGAUUUACUGGGCGUAAAGCGCGCGUAGGCGGUUGGGAAAGUUGGAUGUGAAAGCCCUGGGCUUAACCUGGGAAUUGCAUCCAAAACUACCCGGCUAGAGUGCAGCAGAGGAUGGUGGAAUUCCCGGUGUAGCGGUGAAAUGCGUAGAUAUCAUGAGGAAUACCAGAGGCGAAGGCGGCUACCUGGACAAUUGCUGACGCUCAGGCACGAAAGCGUGGGGAGCAAAAGGGA